rnacentral:piRNA from 1 species
UACUUUAUAAAUUACAAAAUAGUAAUAGGUGU